AUGACAAGAAGAUGCAUUGGUUUUCUUGGUGGAGAUUGUAUUCCAAAAAAGCUCGGAGGAAUGGGAUUUCGAGAUCUAUUUUCUUUUAACAUGGCUAUGCUCACAAAGCAGACGUGGAGAUUAUUAAAUAACCCUGAUUCACUUUGUGCCCAAGUCUUGAGAGCAAAAUAUUAUCCUGAUGGAAAAUUGUUAAAUGCAGGUCCAAAAAAAGGUUCUUCCUACACUUGGCAGAGCAUUUUUGCAGUACUGCAAACUUUUAGGCGUGGACACAUUUGGAGAGUGGGCUCAGGAGAAAGAAUUAACAUUUGGGAGCCACAGAUCCCAAAUAGUAACUCCAGGAAAGUGUUUACCAGGAGGGGCCAUUGUAUUCUUCGUACUGUGGAUGAGCUGAUAGAUCAGCGGAACGGUAGCUGGGAUGAACAACUUAUUAGAGAUAUUUUCUUACCCAUUGAUGCAAGCAAUAUUCUAGCGAUCCCUUUGAGCCCACAUCCGCGGGAAGAUUUUGUGGCGUGGCACAGGAGUAAAAACUUUUUAUUCUCUGUCCGCUCUGCUUACCAUAUUGAAUGGGAUUAUCAGUUCGGCGCACGAACGAGACGGAAGGAUGGUCAAGGCUCUGCUGAACCAAACCCGGUGUGGGGCAUUUUAUGGAAUCUAAAACCAAGUAAGAUUAAGGUGUUCCUAUGGAAGGCUCUACAUGGUAUAAUCCUAGGAAAGGCGAUUCUUGCAUCACGGCACAUACCUGUCUCGCCGCAAUGUCCUAUUUGUCAGUCGGUUCCGGAAAAUAUCGGUAAUCUAUUAUUUACUUGCAAGCGUGCACGGAGUGUUUGGCCUGCUUUAGGACUCCUAGUUGUCAUUGUAGAUGCGCUGAUUUCAGGCUUAUAG
rnacentral:rRNA from 1 species